rfam:Nomascus leucogenys chromosome 6, whole genome shotgun sequence.
GCCGGGCAUGGUGAUGCAUGCCUGUGGUCCCAGCUACUUGGGAGGCUGAGGUGGGAGGAUUGCUUGAGCCCAGGAGUUGGAGGCUGCAGUGAGUUAUGAUUUGCCACUGCAUCCCAGUCUGGGUGAUAGAGCAAGAACCUGUCUCAA